GCCUCGUUGGUGUAGUCCGGCCCAACGGAUCAAGUAAAAUCCGUUCCGGAGAAUCAUUCGGCCCUUUCGAGGCCGAGACCCGGGUUCGAAUCCCGGACGAGGCA
rnacentral:tRNA from 1 species